AUAUAUACAGCAAGGUUCCAAAGAGGACGUCCUUGCUAUACAUAAUAUGCGGAUGGGUCAAUCUCUGCCGUCCGUUUCUUUAAAUGAAAAGCAACGGCUUGGAUCGAGGGGGUUACUGUUUGGAUACAGAGAUAGAGAGAAGCUCAGAGCCUCAGAUGGUUUCAUUUGCAUACGGAGAUAGAGAGAUAAAGAGAGGGGGAAGAGUGAGGCGAUGGGAGCGGAAGACCCAACAACAAAUAUAUAUGAUUUCCAAUCUGAAACUGAAAGAGACGACUGAUUCGAGAGAGAGGGAAGAACAUGGCGAAUCAAGGUGGUUCUUGGGUUUUGAUUUGAGGAAGAACAUGGGGACGGGAAGAGAACGAACAAUGCGAAUCUUGGUUCUUGGGUUCAUCUGAGAAGAACACAAAUCUGGAGACAGAUAGCGAGAGCGAAGAGAGCAAAGGAAGAAGGGAAAGAAGAAGACAUUCGGGAGAAGACAGAAAAGAGAAGAUUGGAACAAAGUAGUGGAGAUACUAUGAUUUUGGUCCAAAAGGAGUAGUUGCCCUUAUUCGUCUUUCUGGAACAGCAGGGACGGUGGAUGUCUGUUUCAAGAAGAUCAUGCCAUUGUCCAUGAAGGAUUUCUAUGAGGAUAUACUUGAGGAGCUUAGCAGGAACAAACAUAUCAUUCUCAGACUAUAAUUAAAGAGUUGGUGCAUGAAAAACAAUGGGAUAGGCAAGAAAUAGAUGACUCGAUGAAUGUUUGUGGAAUGUUUGUAGUAGUAAACACUAAAUGUAAUGUGAAUGUAAUGUGCAUUUUCUGGAAUCACAGUGUAUAGAACAUGUGAAUGUAAUGUGCAUUUUCUGGAAUCACAGAGCUUUGCUCUUGCUAUGCUGGAGAAGGUGUCAUUUGUUGUACUUUACAGUAUUAUAGAAGGAAUGAAAUGGCUUUAGUCUUUGUAUAUUGUAUCCUAUUUAGAAAUGUUGGUUGUAUCGGCUUUGCUUUGGAAGCAUUUUGUUUUGUUGG